UACGUAGGGUGCGAGCGUUGUCCGGAAUUACUGGGCGUAAAGAGCUCGUAGGUGGUUUGUCGCGUUGUCCGUGAAAACUCACAGCUUAACUGUGGGCGUGCGGGCGAUACGGGCAGACUGGAGUACUGCAGGGGAGACUGGAAUUCCUGGUGUAGCGGUGGAAUGCGCAGAUAUCAGGAGGAACACCGGUGGCGAAGGCGGGUCUCUGGGCAGUAACUGACGC
rnacentral:rRNA from 1 species